CCUACGGGAGGCUGCAGUGAGGAAUAUUGGUCAAUGGGCGUAAGCCUAAACCAGCCAAGUCGCGUGAGGGAUGAAGGUUCUAUGGAUCGUAAACCUCUUUUAUAAGGGAAUAAAGUGUGGGACGUGUCCUAUUUUGUAUGUACCUUAUGAAUAAGGAUCGGCUAACUCCGUGCCAGCAGCCGCGGUAAUACGGAGGAUCCGAGCGUUAUCCGGAUUUAUUGGGUUUAAAGGGUGCGUAGGCGGCCUUUUAAGUCAGCGGUGAAAGUCUGUGGCUCAACCAUAGAAUGGCCGUUGAAACUGGGGGCCUUGAGUGGGCGAGAAGAAGGCGGAAUGCGUGGUGUAGCGGUGAAAUGCAUAGAUAUCACGCAGAACCCCGAUUGCGAAGGCAGGCUUCCGGCGCCCUACUGACGCUGAGGCACGAAAGUGCGGGGAUCGAACAGGAUUAGAUACCCUUGUAGUC
rnacentral:rRNA from 1 species